UAUAGGAGGCGAACCCGCUGAACUGAAACAUCUAAGUAGGCGGAGGAGAAGAAAACAAAAGUGAUUCCGUAAGUAGUGGCGAGCGAACGCGGAAUAGCCCAAACCAAAGUUGUUACGGCAAUUUUGGGGUUGUAGGACCACGACAUUUCUUGCGGAUUGAAUUAGAAUUACCUGGAAAGGUAAACCGAAGAGGGUGAUAGUCCCGUAUAAGUAAGAGAAGAUAAGAAUAGUGGUAUCCUGAGUAGGUCGGGGCACGUGAAACCCUGAUUGAAACUGGCGGGACCAUCCGCUAAGGCUAAAUACUCCUGAGAGACCGAUAGUGAACCAGUACCGUGAGGGAAAGGUGAAAAGAACCGUGAAUAACGGAGUGAAACAGAUCCUGAAACCAUACGCCUACAAGCGGUCGGAGCCCAUUCGUUGGGUGACGGCGUGCCUUUUGCAUAAUGAGCCUACGAGUUACCGUUGCUGGCAAGGAUAAGUGAUUAAGUCAUGGAUCCGUAGCGAAAGCGAGUCUUAAUAGGGCGCUUUAGUCAGUAGUGGUAGACGCGAAACCGUGUGAUCUACCCAUGGGCAGGUUGAAGUUUAGGUAACACUAAAUGGAGGACCGAACCGUUUAACGCUGAAAAGUUUUCGGAUGACCUGUGGGUAGGGGUGAAAGGCCAAUCAAACUCGGAAAUAGCUCGUACUCCCCGAAAUGCAUUUAGGUGCAGCGAUAAUCGAUAGUUACUUAGAGGUAGAGCUACUGAUUGGAUGCGGGGGCUUCACCGCCUACCAAUUCCUGACAAACUCCGAAUGCUAAGUAAUGAUAAUUAUCAGUGAGGGCAUGGGUGCUAAGGUCCAUGUCCGAGAGGGAAAGAACCCAGACCAUCAGCUAAGGUCCCCAAAUGUAUGCUAAGUUGAAAAAACGCGGUUUGAUUGCCCAGACAGCUAGGAUGUUGGCUUGGAAGCAGCCAUUCAUUUAAAGAGUGCGUAACAGCUCACUAGUCGAGCGAUCGAGCAUGGAUAAUAAUCGGGCAUAAGCAUACUACCGAAGCUAUGGAUUUACGUUUUUAACGUGAGUGGUAGGGGAGCAUUCUAACGGGGUAGAAGGUGAUUUGUGAGAAUUGCUGGACCUUUUAGAAAAGAAAAUGUAGGCAUAAGUAACGAUAAGGGGUGCGAGAAACACCCCCGCCGUAAGACUAAGGUUUCCUGAGCUAUGCUAAUCAGCUUAGGGUUAGUCGGGACCUAAGGCACACCCGAAGGGGGACGUCGAUGGCCAACGGGUUAAUAUUCCCGUACUACUUAUAAUUGUGAUGGAGUGACACAGUGAUGAAAGCACCGCGAACUGACGGAAUAGUUCGUUGAAGCACGUACCUAUUGGUUUGAUAGUAAAAUGCGUCAGACUAGGAGAAAUGCGAUAGUACUUUGAGUCUUCGGACAACGAGAUAGUGUGCCUAAGGGCUGUCAAGAAAAGCUUCUAAACUUAGAUUAUAAGUACCCGUACCGUAAACCGACACAGGUAGUCGAGGAGAGUAUCCUAAGGCGCUCGAGAGAUUCAUGGCUAAGGAACUAGGCAAAAUAGACCUGUAACUUCGGGAGAAAGGUCGCCAGCGCAAGCUGGCCGCAGUGAAAAGGUCCAGGCGACUGUUUAUCAAAAACACAGGGCUCUGCAAAAUCGUAAGAUGAAGUAUAGGGCCUGACACCUGCCCGGUGCUGGAAGGUUAAGAGGAGAUGUUAUC
rnacentral:rRNA from 1 species